rnacentral:rRNA from 1 species
GUGAGGAAUAUUGGUCAAUGGGCGGAAGCCUGAACCAGCCAAGUCGCGUGAAGGAAGAAGGAUCUAUGGUUUGUAAACUUCUUUUGAAGGGGGAUAAAGUGCGUCACGAGUGGUGCAUUGCAGGUACCCUUGGAAUAAGCAUCGGCUAACUCCGUGCCAGCAGCCGCGGUAAUACGGAGGAUGCGAGCGUUAUCCGGAUUUAUUGGGUUUAAAGGGUGCGUAGGUGGCUUUUUAAGUCAGCGGUGAAAACUGGCGGCUCAACCGCAAGAGUGCCGUUGAAACGGGGGAGCUAGAGUAUGAACGAGGUAGGCGGAAUGUGUGGUGUAGCGGUGAAAUGCAUAGAUAUCACGCAGAACUCCGAUAGCGAAGGCAGCUUACCAGGCCAUAACAGACACUGAAGCACGAAAGCGUGGGGAUCGAACAGGAUUAGAUACCCGGGUAGUCC